UACGAAGGGGGCUAGCGUUGCUCGGAAUCACUGGGCGUAAAGGGUGCGUAGGCGGGUCUUUAAGUCAGGGGUGAAAUCCUGGAGCUCAACUCCAGAACUGCCUUUGAUACUGAGGAUCUUGAGUUCGGGAGAGGUGAGUGGAACUGCGAGUGUAGAGGUGAAAUUCGUAGAUAUUCGCAAGAACACCAGUGGCGAAGGCGGCUCACUGGCCCGAUACUGACGCUGAGGCACGAAAGCGUGGGUAGCGAACAGG
rnacentral:rRNA from 1 species